rnacentral:tRNA from 1 species
AAAGAUAGAGCAUGUUAAUGCACUUCAUUUACAUUGAACCUAAAAAUAUAAUAUUUUAUCUUUA